CUGGGCGUAAAGCGCACGCAGGCGGUUUGUUAAGUCAGAUGUGAAAUCCCCGGGCUCAACCUGGGAACUGCAUCUGAUACUGGCAAGCUUGAGUCUCGUAGAGGGGGGUAGAAUUCCAGGUGUAGCGGUGAAAUGCGUAGAGAUCUGGAGGAAUACCGGUGGCGAAGGCGGCCCCCUGGACGAAGACUGACGCUCAGGUGCGAAAGCGUGGGGAGCAAACAGGAUUAGAUACCCUGGUAGUCCACGCCGUAAACGAUGUCGACUUGGAGGUUGUGCCCUUGAGGCGUGGCUUCCGGAGCUAACGCGUUAAGUCGACCGCCUGGGGAGUACGGCCGCAAGGUUAAAACUCAAAUGAAUUGACGGGGGCCCGCACAAGCGGUGGAGCAUGUGGUUUAAUUCGAUGCAACGCGAAGAACC
rnacentral:rRNA from 1 species